rnacentral:lncRNA from 1 species
CCUCAUCCCCCCCUCUUCAUCUAACCUGGUCAUGAGUUCUACCCUAUCCCCACCAUCUUUUCCUCUUCCUCCUCUUUAAAUCCUGCAGUAGUCCUCAUCCCUCCUCUCCAUCUAACUUGAUCCUAAGCCCUAUCCAGUUGCAUCAUCUCCUCCUCUUCCAACAUUUCCUCCUCUUUAAAACCCACAAUUGUUCUUAUCCCUUCUCUCCAUUCCUCCUCCCCAUCU